GUGCGCUCUCAGUGCCUCCGCGAGCCUUCUCCCUCUUCUUAUUCCUUGUUCUUUCGUGCGCUUUCCGCUUUGCCGCACCGCUCCUCGCCUUCUUCGCCAGCCAAAUAAGUAGGCCAGCAGAUGGUGCUAGCAGUUAUUGUAUUAACUUUCACAACUUAACCCCCAAAGUACUGGAUUUCUCCCACGCCACAGAUUGUCAACAUCGUAGCUUUCUGUAUCUUCAUAUUGGUUACUGCCAGCGACGACGGGCUAGAUGAACACACGGAUAAACAAACUGCUAAAAAUACAUUCCCGAUACCAACAACAAGUGUGAGAUGUUACGAAAUGAACACAACAGGAUGGAAAGGGCUUUUUAAUCCCAAGCCUCACAGUACCAGGCACACUACUUUGUCUUCAGUGGUGCACUUUUACAAGGUCACGAUCGAGGGUCAACGCGCUACAACUCUUGGAGGAAAAAAAAAAAAAAAUCCAACAGGGAAAGUUGGGAUGUGUCCAAGACAUGCAGCUCGUCCCUGUGAGCUCUUGGAGAGGAGUGUGAAGGCCUUUCACGGAACUUCUGACUGCGCGAUGCAGGGGCCAUGUGCACCGGCUGGCACAUGGUAAUGGGAAUUAUUUAGAGACGCACGGCUGGCCUGGAGCCAUGUACAGUGCUCAGCACUACUGGGUCGGGCCUGAGUUACUGACAGAUACGCUAUCAGCUCUUUUCAAUCUCUAUUUACUGUGCAAAAUUAGCUGAACUGACAUCUUUCCCUCCCAACACCCUGUCUGUUCCUCAUGCCGCUGCACACACAAUGCAUUUAUGAGCUGCCAACAGCCAACCUGUACUUCUAUUCCUCGUCCAAAACGAACUGUGUGGAUGGGCAGAUGUAAGACAAUUCUAAAAACUAAAGCAUAAAAUGGUUGUAUCUAUCUGUGUGCGAUUGCAUUUGAUAAGCAAGUUUCUCUAACAUAACAUCUAGGAUUCCUUAUGAUCUCUUACAAAUAAUGGGUCCUUUGGAAACAUUUGGAGGAUUUUUAAGGAUAUGCAGGUCCAAUAUAAUGUUGUUUUUAUAUAACCUAUGAGAUUCUUUAAUUCUCACUACAGUCCUUGUGAGUUAUUCAAGUAUGGUGUGAAAUACGUGGGAGUGAAUGUGUAGGUUACAACACAAUAUGGCUUUACAUUUCAUGUUGUACAGAUAAUAUGAAUAAAGUUCUGUGCUACAAACCAA